UUCCCAUACUUCAGUAUUAGAUAAAACGCAAGAGGCUCUGCGAUUCCUUCAAUCUGCUUGUCACCGAGGCCAAAUGCGACAGACUCUUCUUCUGCAAGAAGGAGCCAAACGAGGGGCUGAGCAGUUCUGCCCUUUCCUUGUUACCAGCCACUAUUGGGUCAUCUUUGUGGUGCAGUUGGUCUACCAUUCCCUUUGCCCCCCUUUUACUUGGAACAUGCCUGAAGAAUCCCUUCUUGAGAUCCCUCACCAACACCAGCUCACCUUGAGUUUCAGCCUUCCUGACACCAUUCCUGCCAAGCGAUCUGCCCGGAAACCUCCUUAGUGACUUGUCCCACUUCCUUUAUGUGUUCCUUCCCAUGUUCAGAUCAGCAUUGUAUUUUUUGUGUUAACCACAGUGGCUUUUUCUGUAUCUUCCGCAGAAGAGGUUGGAGCAGUUGUGAGGGCUACAUACAACCUCCUACAUCAGAGGGUGCUCUGCCAACAAGUUGCUGAAGAACGUGAGCAGGAGGCGAUACUGCACUGUAUCCGACUUCUGGGUUUCCUACGGGUUUCUGCUUGGUUUCCGCAUGAAGAAAAUGCCGGACUAGAUGGACUUUGGUCUGAUUCCACACGGCUCUUCCAUUGUUUUCCCUCACUGGGAUUUUUUCUGAUAGUACUUUUAGUAUCCCUUCUUUAGCAGCUUCCAUCCUUUUGAACUUCUCUUCCUGUUCGGCUUUCCUGCAAGGAAAUCCUUUUUACCAUUGCUCUGGUUUUAUUAAUAUUGGCUUUCCUGAACUUGAAGGUAAAUGUUUGACUACAUUCAGGUUUAGAUUUCCUUAAAAUCCUGCUACAUUCCUACUACUUCCUACACCUCACCGACUAACUCUUCCCUACUGCUCAGAACUGAAGCAAGGGCAGGAUGACUGAUCCCUUCACUCCUUCCUCCACCAACUGAAAAAUAAUGCUUUCAGCAAGGGAUAGCAGGAAUUUCCUGGAAAUACUAUGCUUGGCAGAAUUUGUCCUCCAACAGACAUAAGCAUAAUUCAAGUCCCCCGUUACUGUGACUUCAUACGUCCUUGAAAUGUCUGCAGUUUCCACUUGAAAAGCAUCAUCCACAUCAACCCUGUGCACCCACCCUGUAACAUUUGCCUAAGUCCCUGCAAUGGCAUUCCAUAAAGCAACCAAAUCUUGGACUAAGCAACUGGACCCAAAUGGAAACUGGAACCAUUUACAAAAUGUCACAGACCAUGAAGAUUUCAGACUUCUGAGCCUGGUUCAGUUGAAGAGAAAGACUUUUCCAUGGCAGACCUGCCCCUUCAGAAAAACCUCCUACAAGCUGGAGGAUGUGCUGUUAUCAAGAGACAACAUUGCAAGCCUAGAUAUCCGUGAAUCAGGCCCAUACACUGUUGUGGACAAGGAGACUCGGAAAGGGAAGGGUGAUGUUGGUGGAAGUGCUGACAUUGCAUCUGCAAAUCUAAUGGCCUCGGCCAGGGCAUCCCAUGAGUGGCAAGUGAAUCUGAAGAAGAAAAGCAUCCCUGAACACAAGGUCUAUACUCUAGAAAAGUAAGGCUGGAUGAAAGCUAAGCACACUCAUUCAUGCUUGACUUUCAGGGGCAAAUAGAGGUCCAAGAACAGGAGUUCUCUAGCAUAUUAUUAUAAUUGCUAAUAUUUUUUUUUUUUUUAUUUAUAUACCUCCCAAUGGCCAAAGCUCCCUGGCUGGUUUACAGCAACAGAUAAAUCACAUUAUAAAAUGCAGGCUAUGUUAAAAGCAUCAUCAAAACUAUAUUAGAAACUUUAAAAUCAGUUUUAAAAGCUACAAUAAUUAAUAUAGAGAUGUGAAAAUCCUACAAGAAUCUGGCUCCCUUGUGUUCACCAGACCAUCUUCUCAUGCUUGGCCCUGGCUUAGAAAACAGGCUGAGCUGAGUUCAAGUCCACACUCUCUUGCCAAUGCCAGUGGACCCUUACUUUGCCCUGAGUUAUCCUUGUACAAAGCCUGCAAUGCACAUGUGCAGAAGAAGAACUCCCUUUCAUAGCGUGUGCCGUGUGUGGGAGCCAACCCUGUAGAACCGCUUCCUGCCACUUGUUAUGUAAGUAGCUUCCGACC